GGAUAGAUAAGAGAAGGGUUCUGCACACAGUAAGACAGGUGUGUAUUGCAAUAAAAUAUGCGCAUGAUUACAAUACACGAAGCAGUCUCCACAAUCACGCAGACCAGUUGGACCUGUUGUCUGUAAAGGAGAUAGGAGAUCUACAAAGUUAAGUUACUGUCUGAAAGAACCUUGGAACUGAAAUGUUUUGUAAAAUGUGCAUCAGAGUUUUCCCUGGGUUUCUUCCUAUAGUUUUCCUUGGUUUGUUGGUGACUCAGACUGCUGGAAUUGACAUUCAGCUAAUACCCAAGGAACCAAAAGUCAGUGAUAAUGUCAUCCUGAAUGUCAUUGGUGUCAGUGGUACAAUAAGAAGCUUCACCUGGUAUAAAGGAACAAGCCCAAGUGCUCCAAGCCAAAUUUUAAACUUUAUUCCUUCUCUCCCCAACCCACAAACAGAAGGAGCUCAGUAUUUUCCUGAAGCCAGUGGCCUAGCAAAUGGCUCUUUAUUGAUCAGAAAUCUAAGUGGCAAAAUUGCUGGUGAAUACACUGUACAGAUACAGACUGAUACUUUACAACAACAGUCUGUAAAGUUGGCUGUGAAUGGAAAUGUUUCCAUUGGCGUAACACUGUCCUUUUACAGUCUAUUAAUUUUAUCUCAAGUAGUAAUAUUCAUCUAACAGCAGAACACUGGAGAAUACCACUAGAGGAAAACUUCUCAAAUCUUCAAGCAAACACUAACUACUUCAAUGAACGGAACUGCAAAGAAAAUGAAACACCAUCAUUAUUCACAA